rnacentral:rRNA from 1 species
UACAGAGGGGGCGAGCGUUGUUCGGAAUUACUGGGCGUAAAGGGCGCGUAGGCGGCCUGCUAAGUCGGACGUGAAAUCCCUCGGCUCAACCGGGGAACUGCGUCCGAUACUGGUUGGCUUGAAUUCGGGAGAGGGAUGCGGAAUUCCAGGUGUAGCGGUGAAAUGCGUAGAUAUCUGGAGGAACACCGGUGGCGAAGGCGGCAUCCUGGACCGAGAUUGACGCUGAGGUGCGAAAGCGUGGGGAGCAAACAGG